UACGUAGGGUGCAAGCGUUGUCCGGAAUUAUUGGGCGUAAAGAGCUCGUAGGCGGUUUGUCGCGUCUGCUGUGAAAACCCGAGGCUCAACCUCGGGCCUGCAGUGGGUACGGGCGGGCUGGAGUUCGGUAGGGGAGACUGGAAUUCCUGGUGUAGCGGUGAAAUGCGCAGAUAUCAGGAGGAACACCGGUGGCGAAGGCGGGUCUCUGGGCCGAUACUGACGCUGAGGAGCGAAAGCGUGGGGAGCGAACAGG
rnacentral:rRNA from 1 species